UACGGAGGGGGCAAGCGUUGUUCGGAGUUACUGGGCGUAAAGCGCGCGUAGGCGGUGCGGUAAGUCAGGGGUUAAAGGCUGCAGCUCAACUGCAGUAAGGCCUUUGAUACUAUCGUGCUAGAGUGUCAGAGAGGAUGGCGGAAUUCCCGGUGUAGCGGUGAAAUCCGUAGAUAUCGGGAGGAACACCAGUGGCGAAGGCGGCUUCCUGGCCUGUUACUGACGCUGAGAUGCGAAAGCGUGGGGAGCGAACGGG
rnacentral:rRNA from 1 species